rnacentral:rRNA from 1 species
GAGUGCCGUCCGCUGAGGGCGGCUUUUCCCCGGUGUAAGGAGCCGGGGGAAUAAGGAGAGGGCAAGUCUGGUGUCAGCCGCCGCGGUAAUACCAGCUCUCCGAGUGGUAGGGAUGAUUAUUGGGCUUAAAGCGUCCGUAGCCGGCCCGGCAAGUCUUCCGUUAAAUCCAACGAUUCAAUCGUUGGACUGCAGGAGAUACUGUUGGGCUAGGGGGCGGGAGAGGCCGACGGUAUUCUCGGGGUAGGGGUAAAAUCCUAUAAUCCCGGGAGGACCACCAGUGGCGAAGGCGGUCGGCUAGAACGCGCUCGACGGUGAGGGACGAAAGCUGGGGGAGCGAACCGGAUUAGAUACCCGGGUAGUCCCAGCUGUAAACGAUGCGGGCUAGGUGUUGGGGCGGCUACGGGCCGCUUCAGUGCCGCAGGGAAACCAUUAAGCCCGCCGCCUGGGGAGUACGGCCGCAAGGCUGAAACUUAAAGGAAUUGGCG